AGAGUUUGAUCCUGGCUCAGAACGAACGCUGGCGGCGUGCUUAACACAUGCAAGUCGCGUGCGCAGUUUCCGUAGCAAUACGGAGAUGGGCGCACGGCGCACGGGUGCGUAACACGUGGGCAAUCUGCCCUUUGAUGGGGAAUAACCCGCCGAAAGGGGGCUAAUUCCGCAUAAGAUUCCCGGAACUUCGGUUCUGGGAUUGAAAGCAGCAAUGCGUCGAAGGAGGAGCCCGCGCCCGAUUAGCUAGUUGGUGAGGUAACGGCUCACCAAGGCUAUGAUCGGUAGCUGGUCUGAGAGGAUGAUCAGCCACACUGGAACUGAGACACGGUCCAGACUCCUACGGGAGGCAGCAGUGGGGAAUCUUGCACAAUGGGCGAAAGCCUGAUGCAGCGACGCCGCGUGGGGGAUGAAGCAUUUCGGUGUGUAAACCCCUUUCGACUGGGACGAAUGCCUCGCAAGAGGAGUGACGGUACCAGUAGAAGAAGCCCCGGCUAACUACGUGCCAGCAGCCGCGGUAAGACGUAGGGGGCCAGCGUUGUUCGGAAUUACUGGGUGUAAAGGGUUCGUAGGCGGUGCGGCAAGUUGGGAGUGAAAUCUCUGGGCUCAACCCAGAGGCUGCUUCCAAAACUGCUGUGCUCGAGUGUGAGAGAGGCGCGUGGAAUUGCAGGUGUAGCGGUGAAAUGCGUAGAUAUCUGCAGGAACACCCGUGGCGAAAGCGGCGCGCUGGAUCACUACUGACGCUGAGGAACGAAAGCUAGGGGAGCAAACAGGAUUAGAUACCCUAGUAGUCC
rnacentral:rRNA from 1 species